GCGGGCGUAGUUCAAUGGUAGAAUUCCAGCCUUCCAAGCUGGCCGUGUGGGUUCGAUUCCCAUCGCCCGCU
rnacentral:tRNA from 1 species